GCAAGUCGAGCGGACAGAUGGGGAGCUUGCUCCCUGAUGUUAGCGGCGGAGUAACACGGUGGGUAACCCUGCCUGUAAGACUGGGAUAACUCCGGGAAACCGGGGCUAAUACCGGAUGGUUGUCUGAACCGCAUGGUUCAGACAUAAAAGGUGGCUUCGGCUACCACUUACAGAUGGACCCGCGGCGCAUUAGCUAGUUGGUGAGGUAACGGCUCACCAAGGCGACGAUGCGUAGCCGACCUGAGAGGGUGAUCGGCCACACUGGGACUGAGACACGGCCCAGACUCCUACGGGAGGCAGCAGUAGGGAAUCUUCCGCAAUGGACGAAAGUCUGACGGAGCAACGCCGCGUGAGUGAUGAAGGUUUUCGGAUCGUAAAGCUCUGUUGUUAGGGAAGAACAAGUGCCGUUCAAAUAGGGCGGCACCUUGACGGUACCUAACCAGAAAGCCACGGCUAACUACGUGCCAGCAGCCGCGGUAAUACGUAGGUGGCAAGCGUUGUCCGGAAUUAUUGGGCGUAAAGGGCUCGCAGGCGGUUUCUUAAGUCUGAUGUGAAAGCCCCCGGCUCAACCGGGGAGGGUCAUUGGAAACUGGGGAACUUGAGUGCAGAAGAGGAGAGUGGAAUUCCACGUGUAGCGG
rnacentral:rRNA from 1 species